GAUGAACGCUGGCGGCGUGCCUAAUACAUGCAAGUCGAGCGAACAGACGAGGAGCUUGCUCCUCUGACGUUAGCGGAGGACGGGUGAGUAACACGUGUAUAACCUACCUAUCAGACUGGGAUAACUACGGGACUCCGGAGAUAACACCGGAUAAUAUCUUGAACCGCAUGGUUCAAUAGUGAAAGACGGUUUUGCUGUCACUUAUAGCUGCUUCCGCGCCGCAUUAGCUGGUUGUUAAGGUAACGGCUUACCAAGGCAACUAUGCGUAGCCGACCUGAGAGAGUGGUCGGCCACACUGGAGCUGGGACACGGUCCAUACUCCUACGAGAGGCAGCAGUAGGGAAUCUUCCGCAGUGGUCGAAAGCCUGACGGAGCAACGCGGCGUGUGAUGUGAAGGUCUUCGGAUCGUAAAACUCUGUUAUUGGGUAAGAACAAAUGUGUAAGUAACUGUGCACGUCUUGACGGUACCUAAUCAGAAAGCCACGGCUAACUACGUG
rnacentral:rRNA from 1 species